UGCAAGUCGAACGGUAACGGAAACAGCUUGCUGUUUCGCUGACGAGUGGCGGACGGGUGAGUAAUGUCUGGGAAACUGCCUGAUGGAGGGGGAUAACUACUGGAAACGGUAGCUAAUACCGCAUAACGUCGCAAGACCAAAGAGGGGGACCCUCGGGCCUCUUGCCAUCGGAUGUGCCCAGAUGGGAUUAGCUUGUUGGUGGGGUAACGGCUCACCAAGGCGACGAUCCCUAGCUGGUCUGAGAGGAUGACCAGCCACACUGGAACUGAGACACGGUCCAGACUCCUACGGGAGGCAGCAGUGGGGAAUAUUGCACAAUGGGCGCAAGCCUGAUGCAGCCAUGCCGCGUGUAUGAAGAAGGCCUUCGGGUUGUAAAGUACUUUCAGCGGGGAGGAAGGGAGUAAAGUUAAUACCUUUGCUCAUUGACGUUACCCGCAGAAGAAGCACCGGCUAACUCCGUGCCAGCAGCCGCGGUAAUACGGAGGGUGCAAGCGUUAAUCGGAAUUACUGGGCGUAAAGCGCACGCAGGCGGUUUGUUAAGUCAGAUGUGAAAUCCCCGGGCUCAACCUGGGAACUGCAUCUGAUACUGGCAAGCUUGAGUCUCGUAGAGGGGGGUAGAAUUCCAGGUGUAGCGGUGAAAUGCGUAGAGAUCUGGAGGAAUACCGGUGGCGAAGGCGGCCCCCUGGACGAAGACUGACGCUCAGGUGCG
rnacentral:rRNA from 1 species